UAGCUCAGUCGGUUAGAGCGGCGGCUUCAUAAGCCGUAGGUCGGUGGUUCAAGUCCACU
rnacentral:tRNA from 1 species